AUACUUCAACCACACAUCCUCUACCUCUAUAAAUAGCAAACAACCAAAGCCUCACAAUCUAGUGAAAAUGAAAGAAAAUUUCAAAACAAUGGGAAACACUAUCAAGUCAGCAUUGUUGGUGUUCUUCUUUGUUAUUGCAAUAGGUUUAUCAGACUCGAAUGCAGGACUAAGGUGUUCCAGCACAUACGACUGCAGAGAGAUAGGCUGUCCCUGCAUGAAUGGACUGUGUACUUGCUCAUAUCCACCAGCAGAUAUAUACUCAAACGCGCCAACAGCCCUGCCACGAUCAAGCGGCCGCCAAAAGGUGCAAGAGUCUCGUCUUCCCUGAUGGAGCAUGUAUAUCUGAUCUACCCCAGGAAUGGGAGUUAUUAUCUGAAUCACUAAACCCCUGAACUGCAAUCCGAAAAAGGCGAAUUGGUAUACUUUUGGGCUAGUUUAACAUUACCAAUAAGUAGUUUGCAUUCCUGUACCAUUCUUGUACACUGAAUAAGGUAAAACUGCAAAGAAUUUACACUACAGAAAGUCAGGAACAGCAAUAAAAAUGUCGAUUUAUGGUAGGAAUAGAGUUGAUUACUGUUUGUAUGUUCAUCAUGAAGUUAUCUUAAAGAAACAUAAUGCAGAUAACAUAUAAACUGCCUUAUGUCUUUGAUGCUACUGUAAUCUCAAAACAGAAAUUUUAAAGGAUAAAACUUAUUGUUA